rnacentral:lncRNA from 1 species
UUCCUUUUGGACUCUUCCUAUUGGACUACUCAAUUAACCUCUCUAUAUAUAGAGGUGAGGGUGAAGGUGCACAUACAGGUGAGAAAUCUUAACCCUAGCUUGCAUAAAAAUCCUCUUCUUCACCUUCUCUUACACUGAUCUUUACAUCCUUUUAUUUCAUCACUGAACUUUACAUUGCCAUUUUUUGCUGGAUCUCUGAAAGCUCAUACGGUUCGUGUUGCGCUACCCUGAAGACGUGCCGACGGGGUGGACAGUAGUCGUUGUAUCGCCAGGAGUGAUUGCCGGAGCCUCGUACGUGGAGGGGCAAUCUUGCUUCUAGGACAGUACUUUCACACGCCUCGACUCACAGGCUUCAUUUGAUCUCUUAAUCUCUAUAGCAUUAACUAUUUAAUUUUU